GGCCUCAUGGCUCAGUUGGUUAGAGCGCCGCCCUGUCACGGCGGAGGUCGAGGGUUCAAGUCCCUCUGGGGUCG
rfam:Butyrivibrio fibrisolvens 16/4 draft genome.